rnacentral:rRNA from 1 species
UGGGGAAUAUUGCACAAUGGGCGGAAGCCUGAUGCAGCAACGCCGCGUGAGGGACGACGGCCUUCGGGUUGUAAACCUCUUUUAGCAGGGAAGAAGCGUGAGUGACGGUACCUGCAGAAAAAGCACCGGCUAACUACGUGCCAGCAGCCGCGGUAAUACGUAGGGUGCAAGCGUUAUCCGGAAUUAUUGGGCGUAAAGAGCUCGUAGGCGGUUUGUCGCGUCUGCUGUGAAAUCCCGAGGCUCAACCUCGGGCCUGCAGUGGGUACGGGCAGACUAGAGUGCGGUAGGGGAGAUUGGAAUUCCGGGUGUAGCGGUGGAAUGCGCAGAUAUCAGGAGGAACACCGAUGGCGAAGGCAGAUCUCUGGGCCGUAACUGACGCUGAGGAGCGAAAGGGUGGGGAGCAAACA